UGGAGAGUUGUCCGAGUGGCCGAAGGAGCAUGAUUGGAAAUCAUGUAGAUGGCUAUCGCUGUCUCAAGGGUUCGAAUCCCUUACUCUCCGU
rnacentral:tRNA from 3 species